CCCUUAGAUGUUCUGGGCUGCACGCGCGCUACACUGAAGCUAUCAACACGUUUUCCCUCCCUGAGAAGGGCGGGUAACCUUUUGAAUCAGCUUCGUGGUAGGGAUCGGGGCUUGCAAUUGUUCCCCGUGAACCAGGAAUUCCUAGUAGACGCGAGUCAUAAGCUCGCAUCGAUUAAGUCCCUGCCCUUUGUACACACCGCCCGUCGCUCCUACCGAUUGGGUGUGCUGGUGAAAUGUUCGGAUCGGCCGUUUGUCGCGGUUUCCGCGUCAUGUGGCUGAGAAGUUCAUUAAACCCUCCCACCUAGAGGAAGGAGAAGUCGUAACA
rnacentral:rRNA from 1 species